rnacentral:rRNA from 1 species
UACGGGGGGGGCAAGCGUUGUUCGGAAUUACUGGGCGUAAAGGGUUUGUAGGUGGCCUGCUAAGUCAGACGUGAAAUCCCUCAGCUUAACUGGGGAACUGCGUCUGAGACUGGCGGGCUCGAGGGCAGGAGAGGAACGCGGAAUUCCAGGUGUAGCGGUGAAAUGCGUAGAUAUCUGGAGGAACACCGGUGGCGAAGGCGGCGUUCUGGACUGUUUCUGACACUGAUAAACGAAAGCCAGGGGGGCAAACGGG